rnacentral:tRNA from 1 species
GUUCCCAUCGUCUAGAGGCCUAGGACAUAUCCCUCUCACGGAUAGAACCGGGGUUCGAAUCCCCGUGGGAACGCCA